GACGAACGCUGGCGGCGUGCCUAAUACAUGCAAGUCGAACGCACAGUUCCUGCCUUUGUGUGGUACUCGAUUGGCGAACGGGUGCGCAACCGGGGGGUAACCUGCCCUUUACUCUGGGAUAACGUCGGGAAACUGGGGCUAAUACCGGAUAUGAGCUCCUACUACAUGUUAUGGCUUGUAAAGUUACAGCGGAUGGCGAUGGACGCGCGGCCUAAUAGAUGGUCGGUGGGGUAGUGGCUUAGCAAGGCAUUGACGGGUAGCCGGCCUGAGAGGGUGACCGGCCACAUUGGGACUGAGGUACGGCCCAGACGCCUACGUGAGGCAGCGGUGGAGAAUAUUGCACAAUGGGCGGAAGCCUGAUGCAACAACUCCGCGUGCGGGAUGACUGCUUUCGGGGUAUAAACCGCUUUCGCCUGUAACGAACCGUGAGUGACGGUAAUUGAUAAGGAAGCACCGGCUAACUACGUG
rnacentral:rRNA from 1 species